UGUUCGCUUCGUCUCUUCUUCGUUGCCCUCGCUGUCAAACGAGUGCAAUGGCGGCGGCGGGGGAGAAUGAAGCUGAGGACAUCGCCUGUUGGGGCCUACAACCUCGAGCAAACAGUAUUGAUAGCCAGCGCUCGCUGGAGCUGCUCCCCCCGAUGCCAGAAGGGGACUUUUUACGAGCAAGGGGAAAUUUAGAGAAUAAUCUUUCAAACAACUUCCGGGGGCU
rnacentral:sRNA from 12 species